CUACGGGUCGCAGCAGUGGGGAAUAUUGCACAAUGGGCGCAAGCCUGAUGCAGCCAUGCCGCGUGUAUGAAGAAGGCCUUCGGGUUGUAAAGUACUUUCAGCGGGGAGGAAGGGAGUAAAGUUAAUACCUUUGCUCAUUGACGUUACCUGCAGAAGAAGCACCGGCUAACUCCGUGCCAGCAGCCGCGGUAAUACGGAGGGUGCAAGCGUUAAUCGGAAUUACUGGGCGUAAAGCGCACGCAGGCGGUUUGUUAAGUCAGAUGUGAAAUCCCCGGGCUCAACCUGGGAACUGCAUCUGAUGCUGGCAAGCUUGAGUGUCGUAGAGGGGGGUAGAAUUCCAGGUGUAGCGGUGAAAUGCGUAGAGAUCUGGAGGAAUACCGGUGGCGAAGGCGGCCCCCUGGACGAAGACUGACGCUCAGGUGCGAAAGCGUGGGGAGCAAACAGGAUUAGAUACCCUCGUAGUC
rnacentral:rRNA from 1 species